GAGCUCUUAGUUCGGUUCAGUAGAAUGCGGGUCUCCAAAACCCAAUGUCUUAGGUUCAAAUCCAACAGAACUUG